GACGAACGCUGGCGGCGUGCUUAACACAUGCAAGUCGAACGGUGAAGGGGUCUGCUUUUGUGGGCCCUGGAUGAGUGGCGAACGGGUGAGUAACACGUGAGUAACCUGCCCCCUUCUUCUGGAUAACCGCAUGAAAGUGUGGCUAAUACGGGAUAUUCUGGGUCUGUCGCAUGAUGGGUCUGGGAAAGAUUGCGCCUUUGGGUGUUUUUGGUGGGGGAUGGGCUCGCGGCCUAUCAGCUUGUUGGUGGGGUGAUGGCCUACCAAGGCGGUGACGGGUAGCCGGCCUGAGAGGGUGGACGGUCACACUGGGACUGAGACACGGCCCAGACUCCUACGGGAGGCAGCAGUGGGGAAUACUGCACAAUGGGCGCAAGCCUGAUGCAGCGACGCCGCGUGAGGGAUGGAGGCCUUCGGGUUGUAAACCUCUUUCGCCAGUGAAGCAGGCCUGCUCCUCGUGGGUGGGUUGACGGUAGCUGGAUAAGAAGCGCCGGCUAACUACGUG
rnacentral:rRNA from 1 species